rnacentral:rRNA from 1 species
UACGAAGGGGGCUAGCGUUGCUCGGAAUUACUGGGCGUAAAGCGCACGUAGGCGGACUCUUAAGUCGGUGGUGAAAUCCUGGAGCUCAACUCCAGAACUGCCUUCGAUACUGGGAGCCUUGAGUUCGGGAGAGGUGAGUGGAACUGCGAGUGUAGAGGUGAAAUUCGUAGAUAUUCGCAAGAACACCAGUGGCGAAGGCGGCUCACUGGCCCGAUACUGACGCUGAGGUGCGAAAGCGUGGGGAGCAAACAGG